rnacentral:piRNA from 1 species
UGAGACCUCUAGGUAGAAUGGCUGGAU